GACGAACGCUGGCGGCGUGCCUAAUACAUGCAAGUUGAGCGAUGAAGCUUGGUGCUUGCACCAAUUUGAAGAGCAGCGAACGGGUGAGUAACGCGUGGGGAAUCUGCCUUUGAGCGGGGGACAACAUUUGGAAACGAAUGCUAAUACCGCAUAAUAACUUUAAACAUAAGUUUUAAGUUUGAAAGAUGCAAUUGCAUCACUCAAAGAUGAUCCCGCGUUGUAUUAGCUAGUUGGUGAGGUAAAGGCUCACCAAGGCGAUGAUACAUAGCCGACCUGAGAGGGUGAUCGGCCACAUUGGGACUGAGACACGGCACAAACUCCUACGGGAGGCAGCAGUAGGGAAUCUUCGGCAAUGGACGAAAGUCUGACCGAGCAACGCCGCGUGAGUGAAGAAGGUUUUCGGAUCGUAAAACUCUGUUGGUAGAGAAGAACGUUGGUGAGAGUGGAAAGCUCAUCAAGUGACGGUAACUACCCAGAAAGGGACGGCUAACUACGUG
rnacentral:rRNA from 1 species